rnacentral:snoRNA from 1 species
CCAACGUGGAAAGCGCGGGAGGUCACUCUCUCCGGGCUCUGUCCCGGUGGUACAGGGGAGCACAGGGCUCUGCCCAGUGAGGUACAGUCCCCUUCCACGAUGCUGGAGAUGAAGCUGGGUGUCGAGCCUGCACCUGCACAUUCCUACAGCUUCUCAGGGUCCUGUGGACAAUGACUGAGGAGAAAAACCAUGCAGGGAGCAGCU